UAUAGAAAGAAGAGAGCCAUCCUGAAGCAUUUGGUAUGGAUUAGGUGACUAUUACCGCACCUCAAAUCAGCUCUUGGCAUGGGGUUACCAAGUUGUCACUGUAAAGUUGGGAAGAGAGAGAAGCAGCUGAAGGCCCAAACUAAGCAACGAGUUUUAUUUCCUCUUCCCUUGGAAGAUGUGGACUUACUCCCUUGGCCUAUUCAGGUGGGCCAAUGGUGUGAGUCAUCAAGGAACAAGGAUGUCACAAGAGCAUGGGAUCAGCCACCAGCCUGGACAUUGCCUCACCACAGCUUGCCCUGGAUGCUCCCGCUGCAGGUCAGGCGUGCACGGAAGCAGAGGCUUGGACAAGUGUGUGUGUGUGGGGGGGGGCAUCCUUCCUCAGGAGGCCAAGACUCUGGCCAAUUAGAUGUGGGGUGGAGGUGUGGGGAGUGGCAGGACCUCCUUCACUUUCCUCCCAAGUCAUGGAAGCACUUACCCUUCGUGUGAAAGGCAACCCCUGGAUGUGCUCAGGAGGAGGAGGACGACGACGACGAUGUGAGAUUAUAACUAACACCCCCCCCCAUGUGUCUAUUCCGGGAAGACAUUUGGGAAGCUUAGAGGAAGAUGAGUAAGUGGCGGCAACCUUGGCCAGCUGGGCCUGUGCUCCGAAACCCAUGCUUUCGGGUCCGAGCGCUGGGAAGUGGGUCUGCGACCAUGAGCGGCAACGAGGACGGCCGCUUCCCGGAUUUGUUUCUAAAAUACAUCGUUUCUCUCCAGAAACACUUGCCCCCGAAGUGAAAUAAAU
rnacentral:lncRNA from 1 species